GCCCGGCUGGCGCAAUCGGUUUAGCGCGUCAGACUCUUAUUUGAGGGAUCUGAAGGUUGCGAGUUCGACCCUCGCGUUGGGCU
rnacentral:tRNA from 1 species